GUCAAUAUAUACCUCAUCUUAUGUUUUAAGAUGCUCAUAUAGACUUAGACUGAAAAUCUAAUGGUCCUUGGUUCGAUCCCGAGUUUCGGCA